AUCUUUUAAACCAUACUCUUCGGUACACAUCUCCUUCUCGUCUUCGUUCUCAUCCUUCCCCUUCCUAAUCCACCUCAAAACCCCCAAUAUUGCAACAAACCUUUGAAUUUUUGCAGUAGCUAUAGACCCAAAAGAGCUCCCUAGAAACAGCCCUCAAAGACUUUUGAAAGAGCUAGCAGAGUUUAAGAAAAUAGUCUCACCUAAGAAAAAAACCGCUCCCGAGGAGAUUCAUUUUCAAGCUCCCACUUGAUGAUGCGAAACUGGCUAAAAGAUUCCUCAACAACCCGCAAUUACCACUAAAAUCCUUCCCUUUGUUGAGUUCUUGCUUGCCUUCUUCCCGAUUACACAAUGCAGAUAAAAUGUGGACGGACAGGUACUUGCUUGAAGCCAAGCAUGCUUUAGGUUACACUUUAGAGCCUUCUGAGAAUUAUAGAGAUGAUAAUUCGGCUAAUUAGUUUGGCAUAUUGUUGUAUCUGGCAUUUCAGCAUCCCCACUACGAGAGGACUAAUGCUCGCCAUGUGAGGUCGGGGCAUUCCAAGUUGUGGUUCUUGGGGCAGUAUGUGCUCGUGAUGGCAUUGUCUGAGUUUUCUUGCAGAGGUAUCCUACGGAGUCACCGGGGCCAAUGAGGGAGAGAGUGUAUGUUAAGAUUUGGG
rnacentral:lncRNA from 1 species